CUCUUUUUGUGUGUGCCUGUUAGAAGUAGGACAUGCAUAGAGUUUCUCAAUGGAAUCUCAUCAAAUGUAAAGUCAUGAUUGAAAAAUUGUUUGCCUUAGGUUAAAAAAGUCCCCUUUAGUUACAGAAGAUAUUACUUUAUCUUGGGAUAUAAAGUCCAGAGAAUUAAAUAAUUUGGUCAAAUUACUUCCCAAUUUAAGUGGAUUUCAGACCUGAAAUUUAAUAGGUACAAAGAAGGUUCCAAUGUCUACCCACCUAUGUGCAGGCCUUUAUUCCAUACUUUUAUUUUGCUACUAGGAAUACAAAAUAAAUCAGUAUACUAAGGAAAGUCCUUGGGUUACCUUCUUAGAUAAUUCAGAAACUGCACCCAAAAGCACAAAUAUGUUCUUGGAAUCUCAGAGAUUCUAUGCAGAUUUUAGAUAAUUCAAGAGUCUUUAAUGAACAUUAGGUUUUUGGCAUUCUAUAACAAUAUUAGAUAAAUUAUUCUAAUAAUUCUCAGUGCAGUAGUCAUUAUCCGUAUCUUCUGG
rnacentral:lncRNA from 1 species